GAUGAACGCUGGCGGCGUGCCUAAUACAUGCAAGUCGAGCGAACAGACGAGGAGCUUGCUCCUCUGACGUUAGCGGCGGACGGGUGAGUAACACGUGGAUAACCUACCUAUAAGACUGGGAUAACUUCGGGAAACCGGAGCUAAUACCGGAUAAUAUAUUGAACCGCAUGGUUCAAUAGUGAAAGACGGUUUUGCUGUCACUUAUAGAUGGAUCCGCGCCGCAUUAGCUAGUUGGUAAGGUAACGGCUUACCAAGGCAACGAUGCGUAGCCGACCUGAGAGGGUGAUCGGCCGCACUGGAACUGAGACACGGUCCAGACUCCUACGGGAGGCAGCAGUAGGGAAUCUUCCGCAAAGGGCGAAAGCCUGACGGAGCAACGCCGCGUGAGUGAUGAAGGUCUUCGGAUCGUAAAACUCUGUUAUUAGGGAAGAACAAAUGUGUAAGUAACUAUGCACGUCUUGACGGUACCUAAUCAGAAAGCCACGGCUAACUACGUG
rnacentral:rRNA from 1 species